GCCGAACUAGUAUAUAGAGUACGGGUGGAUUACGCCCAUUUGGAGAUCAGUUGUGGUCGUUCGGUU
rnacentral:tRNA from 1 species